UACGUAGGGUGCAAGCGUUGUCCGGGAAUUAUUGGGCGUAAAGAGCUCGUAGGCGGUUUGUUGCGUCGGCUGUGAAAUCCCGAGGCUCAACCUCGGGUCUGCAGUCGAUACGAGCAAACUAGAGUGUUGCAGGGGAGACUGGAAUUCCUGGUGUAGCGGUGAAAUGCGCAGAUAUCGAGAGGAACACCAGUGGCGAAGGCGAGUCCCUGGACAACUUCUGACGCUGAGGCACGAAAGCUAGGGGAGCAAACAGG
rnacentral:rRNA from 1 species